AGCGAACGCUGCGGCAGGCUUAACACAUGCAAGUCGAGCGGGGCGUAGCAAUACGUCAGCGCAGACGGGGUGAGUAACGCGUGGGAACGUACCUUUUGGUUCGGAACAACACAGGGAAACUUGUGCUAAUACCGGAUAAGCCCUUACGGGGAAAGAUUUAUCGCCGAAAGAUCGGCCCGCGUCUGAUUAGCUAGUUGGUGAGGUAACGGCUCACCAAGGCGACGAUCAGUAGCUGGUCUGAGAGGAUGAUCAGCCACAUUGGGACUGAGACACGGCCCAAACUCCUACGGGAGGCAGCAGUGGGGAAUAUUGGACAAUGGGCGCAAGCCUGAUCCAGCCAUGCCGCGUGAGUGAUGAAGGCCCUAGGGUUGUAAAGCUCUUUUGUGCGGGAAGAUAAUGACGGUAC
rnacentral:rRNA from 1 species